CAAUAAAUCACAAUGCGGAACAAUGUUUUGCAAUUGGAUUGAGAACAACGUACAAACCUUAUCGAUAAACAAUUGGAGGGCAAGUCUGGUGCCAGCAGCCGCGGUAAUUCCAGCUCCAAUAGCGUAUAUUAACGUUGUUGCAGUUAAAAAGCUCGUAGUUGAAAUGAAGGGUGGUUGUGUAAUGAAUACAUUCGUGUAUUUUGUUAUUCUACUACCCUCCUUCUAAAUUCGAUAUAUGAGUAUUAAUUUACUUGUAUAUGGUUUUAGACGUUUACUGUGAGAAAAUUAGAGUGUUCAAAGCAGGCAUUUGCUUGAAUAUAUUAGCAUGGAAUAAUCAUGUAUGAUUUUCAUGAUGUAUUUGAUUGGUUUGGUUCAUGAGAAUAAGAUUAAAAGGGACAGUUGGGGGUAUUCAUAUUCAAUAGUCAGAGGUGAAAUUCUCGGAUUUAUGGAAGAUGAA
rnacentral:rRNA from 1 species